AACGAUAAUUGUUGACGGAUCGCACAACGAAUUAGGAAACAAGCGUGCCAAUCGUCGCGCGGAUCCGACGGCAAGUGGUCACUGGAGAAUACAAGAUGUCGGGCUGACAGCCGUUUCCUGUAUUUGAGGGUUCGCACGAGAAAGUACUUCGCUGAGCUUGGCAUGCACUGUGGAACAAAGAUCAAUCCAGGGUACAAAGUGUGUAGCAAAUCGGACGUCGUAACAUCGACGUCAACAUCGAUGGCGGACAAAUGUCAAGAGUCGAUCAAAACUGCAGAAUGUUACGAGUGUGUCGCAGGAAUCGGCGCACGCAAGCAUGCUAUUGCCACUCUGAUGUGGCUUUGACGAAGAAGCGUAGAUCCAUCACCUACAGGAGUCGGCUGAUACUGGCAAGGGUUGGAAUAUACAGAAAACUGGGCUCUCGUUGAACGAUGCUUUUCGUAAACUAUUCGUCAACUGCGCCACACAUGAUGCAAACGAUGUCAGCCGUUCUGUACAACAAAUCAGCUGCCGUACAGAUGCGGUGGCGAAUCGUUCGCGAAAAAAUCAUCGGACGACGACGAUGAUUCACUUGGCAGCAAUCCUGGACAGCUAGACGUUGAUUUGAUACGCGUUAAAGGGUGCAAACAUGCCAAAAAUACUGCACUCCGAUCGCUUCGAGAAAACGGAAAUCAUACAUUGGCUAAAAAGCAAUUGCUACUGUUCGGUUAAAGUGAUCAAGUGAUUCGAUUGAGUUUAAAAUUCCUUCCAGCGGUCGAUAAUCGCGAUAUUUGCUGCUCUUUGGUGGCUAGAAUAUUCACACGAUAAAUUGAAACAAUAUCGCGAAUGUUUACGAAGUUUGUCGACAAGAUUCGAAAAUUUUUAUUUAUUUUCAAUAUUUAAAAAGUGUUAAUUGAAAUUGAUUCGUUGGUUCGUGCGUGAAAUUUUUGCAAUUACUGCGAAAACGAUAAAAGAGGUAAAAAAAAGAAAAGAAAAGAAAAGAUGUUGCAACGCUAAUUGGAAUGGAAAUAAAUGUGAAAAAUAUAACGUAAUAAUAUGUGCGUGUGGUGAAAGUGGUUGAAUAAUGAAAAUCUUUAAUUCGACGAAUGGUGAUUAUCAUGAAAAAGGCUGAUUCGAUUAAUUUUCCAAAUUAAAUCUCGUUUAUAAAGUUUAU